UCUCGUCUGUGUCGAGCUGCUCUCUGAGGAGGAACCAUGGACGAAGUCAACAAAGUUUGUUUUGAUGCCUGUUUGAACAGGUCGCUGUGGUUUGUCCGCCUGCUCCUGCUCGCCGCUGUCCUGUCCUCAUCUUGUUGUACAGUUCUACAAUUCAGUUUUUUGGGACUUACAUCCGGUUCCGGUUCAAGCGCAGAUUAAUAGAACUACAUUUUACUAGCGCACCGAAGGUGUUACUGACGGGACUCUACAGCGUCUUGAGCUGAAUUAAGACUUCAGAAGUCAUUCGUCAUGUCGAAUGACCAGCGGAUAAACUCUCAGGUGAAGAGCCUGAGGCCGGUGACAGUCCAGUUCUACUCCAAG